AAUUAUGGACAAUGGGAGAAACCCUGGUCCAGCCAUCCCGCGUGUCCGAUGAAGGCCUUCGGGUUUUACAGUAAUCUAUUCAGCGAGGAAAAGAUACCCCCUAAUACAAGGUAAUGCUGACGGUCUCUGCAGAAAAAGCACCGGCUACCUACGUGCCAGCAGCCGAGGUAAUACGUAGGGUGCAAGCGUUAAUCGGAAUUACUGGGCGUAAAGCGUGUGUAGGCGGUUCGGAAAGAAAGAUGUGAAAGCCCAGGGCUCAACCUUGGAACUGCAUUUUUAACUGCCGAGCUAGAGUAUGUCAGAGGGGGGUAGAAUUCCACGUGUAGCAGUGAAAUGCGUAGAUAUGUGGAGGAAUACCGAUGGCGAAGGCAGCCCCCUGGGAUAAUACUGACGCUCAGACACGAAAGCGUGGAGAGCAAAC
rnacentral:rRNA from 1 species